AUUGAACGCUGGCGGCAGGCUUAACACAUGCAAGUCGAGCGGAGAUGAGGUGCUUGCACCUUAUCUUAGCGGCGGACGGGUGAGUAAUGCUUAGGAAUCUGCUUAUUAGUGGGGGACAACAUUCCGAAAGGAAUGCUAAUACCGCAUACGCCCUACGGGGGAAAGCAGGGGAUCUUCGGACCUUGCGCUAAUAGAUGAGCCUAAGUCGGAUUAGCUAGUUGGUGGGGCAAAGGCCUACCAAGGCGACGAUCUGUAGCGGGUCUGAGAGGAUGAUCCGCCACACCGGGACUGAGACACGGCCCAGACUCCUACGGGAGGCAGCAGUGGGGAAUAUUGGACAAUGGGCGGAAGCCUGAUCCAGCCAUGCCGCGUGUGUGAAGAAGGCCUUUUGGUUGUAAAGCACUUUAAGCGAGGAGGAGGCUACCUGGAUUAAUACUCUAGGAUAGUGGACGUUACUCGCAGAAUAAGCACCGGCUAACUCUGUGCCAGCCGCCGCAGUAACAC
rnacentral:rRNA from 1 species